GUUGCUGUGGUUUUUAGCCGCUCCUCCGCUUUCCUACAGUUUUCCGGAGGCAGGUCCGAUGCCUGCAUAUAUUCUUCCUCUUCCUCAAGUGGGUCUGGUGUGUGGACUGACAGUUGCUCAAGUGCUCUUUCCUGGAACAGCACAUCGCUUUCUUGAUUCAAAUCGCUUAGGCUUCCUUGGAUAGAGCUCCUCCGUGAUCUUGAUUCUCCUCCCGGGCUUCCUCGUUGUCUGGAGGACUCUUUUCCCAUCAUGUUGCCGACCACCCUUCACAGCUCCCGGACAUGGUCUUGAAGCACAGAACGGGAGAUUACGCUCUCCGAAGCUCCAAGAAGAGACAAUCCUCACCCACGAGUCUCCACUGUCCUGUUCCCACCAGCCACCGGGACACCGGCAACCCACCAUCGCACCCCUCAGACCCUCACUCUCUCUCAUCCAUCUACCCCCUCUACUUCCCUUAUCUCUUACCCUCAUCCCUACAUCCCUUCCCCUCGAACCCUUUUUCCUUUUCAUAACUUUAGCAAUAAACCGUUCAAACUCAUAUCGCCACCAGUGUGGUCAUUGUUAUUGAAUGACAUUGGUGAGGUACAAGCUAUAGUCA